UUAGCGGCGGACGGGUGAGUAACACGUGGGUAAUCUGCCUUAUACAGGGGGAUAACAGUUAGAAAUGACUGCUAAUACCGCAUAAGCGCACGGGAACGCAUGUUUCUGUGUGAAAAACUCCGGUAGUAUAAGAUGAGCCCGCGUCUGAUUAGCUGGUUGGUGGGGUAACGGCCUACCAAGGCGACGAUCAGUAGCCGGCCUGAGAGGGUGAACGGCCACAUUGGGACUGAGACACGGCCCAAACUCCUACGGAAGGCAGCAG
rnacentral:rRNA from 1 species